GACGAACGCUGGCGGCGUGCUUAACACAUGCAAGUCGAACGGGCCCGCUCUCUUUUUUGGGGGUGGGUUGAGUGGCGAACGGGUGAGUAUCACGUGAGUAACCUGCCCCCUGCUCCUGGAUAACUGCUUGAAAGGGCGGCUAAUACGGGGUGUGCCGGCUGGUCCGCAUGGGCCUGGUCGGGAUAGUUUCAUCUUCGGGUGUUUCGGUGGGGGAUGGGCUCGCGGCCUAUCAGCUUGUUGGUGGGGUGAUGGCCCACCAAGGCGGUGACGGGUAGCCGGCCUGAGAGGGUGGGCGGCCACACUGGGACUGAGACACGGCCCAGACGCCGGCGGGAGGCAGCAGUGGGGGGUAUUGCACAAUGGGCGGAAGCCGGAUGCAGCGACGUCGCGUGAGGGAUGGAGGCCGUCGGGUGGUGAACCUCUUUCUCCGGUGGUGAAGGCCCUGUCCGUUGCGGCGGGGUUGACGGUAGCCGGGUAUGAAGCGCCGGCUAACUACGUG
rnacentral:rRNA from 1 species